rnacentral:rRNA from 1 species
AUGAAGUUUCGGUUCCUCCUGGUCAAAAUGUACCAUAUAACUGGAAUUAACCGAUACAAGUCCAAGAAGGAUUGGCCGGUGCUGCCGACUGGCGUCAAGUUUGAUCCCACGGAUCAGGAGCUAAUCAAGCACCUUGAGGCCAAAGUGAGUGCUGACAGCGCGAGAUCUCACCCUCUCAUCGAUUUGUUCAUACCAACCAUCGACGGCAAGCACGGCAUAUGCUACACCCAUCCUGAGAAACUUCCAGGUGUCACACUGAGUGGCCUAAGCAAGCAUUUCUUCCAGCGCAACUCCAGGGCGCUCAAAAGGGGCACAUGGAUGUGUCGCAAGAUACAGUCGGAGUGUGGCAUGCACGCGAUCUGGCACAAGACCGGCAAUACCUUGCCGGUGAUGGUCAACGGCCAGCAGACGAGCAGCAAAAAGGUUCUGGUGCUGCACACCAACAAGAACUUCGACCAGCAGAGGACCAACUGGGUGAUGCACCAGUACCACCUCAGGGACCUGGAGCAAGAGAAGGAGCGGGAGCUGGGGAUCCAUCCGGUUUCACAGGCUGAUAGUUGGACGCAGCACGUCGAAACUGGGCUGUGGCAUGCCAAGCCCAGCUGCAAAUUGUUAAAAGAGAGGAGCGAUGGAUUUGGGCCAUCCAGAACAGUUAAGUGUCACGACCUCGAUUGUGAAGCGCCUCCGAUGGACUAA